rnacentral:misc_RNA from 1 species
UGUUCGAGCGUCAUUAUGACCAAUCAAGCUCUGCUUGGUCUUGGGGCCCGCUGUACCGGCGGCUCUUAAAAUCAGUGGCGGUGCCGUCUGGCUCUAAGCGUAGUAAUACUUCUCGCUAUAGGGUCUAGUCGUCCACCCGCCAGAACCCCCAACUUUCUUAGGUUGACCUCGGAUCAGGUAGGGAUACCCGCUGAACUUAA